UACGUAGGGUGCGAGCGUUAAUCGGAAUUACUGGGCGUAAAGCGUGCGCAGGCGGUUCGUUAAGUUCGAUGUGAAAGCCCCGGGCUCAACCUGGGAACUGCAUUGGAAACUGGCGAGCUUGAAUGCGGCAGAGGAAGGUGGAAUUCCCGGUGUAGCAGUGAAAUGCGUAGAGAUCGGGAGGAACACCAGUGGCGAAGGCGGCCUUCUGGACCAAUACUGACGCUCAUGCACGAAAGCGUGGGGAGCAAACAGG
rnacentral:rRNA from 1 species